rnacentral:lncRNA from 1 species
GUCAACGCUCGAUUAGUGCAUCCUUAUAUGUGUCUCCAUUCAAUUAAUCCUGUGACUCCUCACAAGGACUAUCCUGAUCAAGAUUUUACUAAAUUGAAAUACAUUGAGGCAUACUCUUCAAUGACUUGGAGUGGUCAAUCUCAUCUCAACUCAUACACCGACUUUAUAAGUACUUGACUAUGUCCAGAAAUCUUUCAAUCCUGAAUUAAAAAUUCAGGUAGUCCGGCAUCAAAAUACAGUGAGUUGCUUGCAAGUCACCAUGGUGAUCU